ensembl:lncRNA
GUGUGACAUUAACAAUAAUAUUAACAUGGAGCCUGAGAGCCAACAGUGUUUCUAUAAGAGCUAUGAAGUCAGAGGUUAAUGUUUAAAUUAUCCUUUAUGACCUUGAUGAAUCCUUAAUGAUGAUGAGAGGGAAACAGCAGCUAAACCGGCUGUUUCCCUCUCAUCUGUAACCCUGGUUAAAUAACUACUACUGAAAUAAGAUAUAGUUACUCACCUUGAAUGUUUAAAUAACAUUUUGUAAAUGCUACUCCCAUUCCAGUUACAUUAUGUACUUCCAUUGAGUAUGUACCAUUGUCUGUCCUGUCGAUGUCCUUUAUAGUAAAUAUUCCAGUACUGACAUUAAAUGAAUAUCGAAUGUUUGUCUGACUGCGUCCUGAUAAAAUCGUGACUCCGUCUUUCUUCAGUCUGAAGGAAUCAUCUUGUGAGGACUGAGUAGGCAUCAGGACCUCCACGGUUUCUCCCAGAGAGCCAAAGCACUGGGUCGUGACGCGUGGCUGUGUGGCGUCGCAGACGGUCUUCACACCUGGAGGUUUACAGAGGAGAAUAAAACCAUACAGGAGAUAUAUCUCAAUGAGAUUCACAGCCCACCACUCACUAUUACUGUAAUAACUGUCUUAUUACUGUAAGAGGGAUGGACAUUUUGAAUACAAUGGGUGU